rnacentral:rRNA from 1 species
AUUGAACGCUGGCGGCAGGCCUAACACAUGCAAGUCGAACGAGUGGCGGACGGGUGAGUAAUGUCUGGGAAACUGCCUGAUGGAGGGGGAUAACUACUGGAAACGGUAGCUAAUACCGCAUACCAUCAGAUGUGCCCAGAUGGGAUUGGCUUGUUGGUUGUGUAACGGCUCACCAAGGCGCCGAUCCCUAGCUGGUCUGAGAGGAUGACCAGCCACACUGGAACUGAGACACGGUCCAGACUCAUACGGGAGGCAGAAGUGGGGAAUAUUGCACAAUGGGCGCAAGCCUGAUGCAGCCAUGCCGAGUGUAUGAGGAAGGCAUACGGGUUUUAAAGUACUUUCGGCGGGGAGGCGUUACCCGCAGAAGAAGCACCGGCUAAAUCCGUGCCAGCAGCCGCGGUAAUUC